UAUAAGCUCAUGAAAUUGCUUUGGUGGAGAGAGAAAGAGCUGGGCAAUUUCUUUCUAGGGUUUCUUGCGGCUCUCCAUCUCGCCUCUACCGCCGAUGGCCACUGAUCAACGCGCCUCUCCAUCUCCCCUCUUGCUCCUCCUCCUUUCCUUGCUGAUCAGUGUCGCCGCUGCUCUUGCUAGUCGCCGCCAUUGGCCUUUCCGGCGCUGCUUCUCCUCUCACCGUUGUUCUUUCUCUCUCUCUAGUUUAUGUUUUCUCUUUCACUGUGAAAAUAAUGAUUCCCUGCAUAGUUCUUGCUGGCCCUAUUGGUCUUGGUUUUGGAUAUAUGAGGCAAGUACUAUAUGCUGUAAUUGCAUUUUGAUUUGUUAAUAAUUUUGGCGAUUAUGCAAUUCUUGUGCAAAGAUCUAAUAACCAAGUUUAAUCCUUACUCUCAGUGCAGAAGGAAAUAACAUCCUUCCCUUUGUUAGCCUUGUUUUCUCUAGCAUGCUCAUUAUUACUGGUUGCUUUACAUAUGCUUUUGCAAGGCAAUUAAAUGCUUUCCAGAUUUAGGUGGAAUUCUUAUAUCUUGUGGAGCUUCACUUGGUGUUUUUCUACAGUGGGUUAUCCAGGUCAUAGUGCUUUGGAGAAGAGACUAUUGUAUGAUUCCAUUAUCAUGGAUGAGCAUUUUAAAGGACAAAGAUGUGCAUGUGGUUACUUUCUAACACCUUCUAGAUAUUAGGCAUUUAUAUUAUUGUGAAGUUGAUAGCAUGCUUAUUAAAUCCAGUGGUGAUUACUAAACAUACUCUGGAUUCUGAUUAUUGUCUCCAACAUCAUCUUCUUUUCUUUUGCUCAGUUCUUCUCCCUGCUAUUGCCCGCAACAAUCAAUCUAGCCUUUGUACACAUUGCCUCUUUUACUGAUCUUUGUUUUUCAUCUCUUAUUCUUGGUGCUACUGCUGGUCUCUCAUGUAAGUAAUUGUUGCUAGCUACUUUUACUGGUGCAAGUGUCAUUUUGGACUUUAGUUUGUAAGUUAGCUUUAGACAUACUUCUAUUGUGUCCGCUACUUUUGAUUUUGGUGUAAUGUUGUAAUUUUUUUUUUCAAUGUAACAUUUUCUGAAUUAAACAGAAAAA